rnacentral:rRNA from 1 species
GACGAACGCUGGCGGCGUGCUUAACACAUGCAAGUCGAACGGAAAGGCCCUGCUUUUGUGGGGUGCUCGAGUGGCGAACGGGUGAGUAACACGUGAGUAACCUGCCCUUGACUUUGGGAUAACUUCAGGAAACUGGGGCUAAUACCGGAUAGGAGCUCCUGCUGCAUGGUGGGGGUUGGAAAGUUUCGGCGGGUGGGGAUGGACUCGCGGCUUAUCAGCUUGUUGGUGGGGUAGUGGCUUACCAAGGCUUUGACGGGUAGCCGGCCUGAGAGGGUGACCGGCCACAUUGGGACUGAGAUACGGCCCAGACUCCUACGGGAGGCAGCAGUGGGGAAUAUUGCACAAUGGGCGGAAGCCUGAUGCAGCAGCGCCGCGUGCGGGAUGACGGCCUGCGGGUUGUAAACCGCUUUCGCCUGUGACGAAGCGUGAGUGACGGUAAUGGGUAAAGAAGCACCGGCUAACUACGUG